rnacentral:rRNA from 1 species
UGAGUGCAGAAGAGGACAGUGGAACUCCAUGUGUAGCGGUGGAAUGCGUAGAUAUAUGGAAGAACACCAGUGGCGAAGGCGGCUGUCUAGUCUGUAACUGACGCUGAGGCUCGAAAGCAUGGGUAGCGAACAGGAUUAGAUACCCUGGUAGUCCAUGCCGUAAACGAUGAGUGCUAAGUGUUGGAGGGUUUCCCCCUUCAGUGCUGCAGCUAACGCAUUAAGCACUCCGCCUGGGGAGUACGACCGCAAGGUUGAAACUCAAAGGAAUUGACGGGGGCCCGCACAAGCGGUGGAGCAUGUGGUUUAAUUCGAAGCUACGCGAAGAACCUUACCAGGUCUUGACAUCUUCUGCCAAUCUUAGAGAUAAGACGUUCCCUUCGGGGACAGAAUGACAGGUGGUGCAUGGUUGUCGUCAGCUCGUGUCGUGAGAUGUUGGGUUAAGUCCCGCAACGAGCGCAACCCUUAUUAUCAGUUGCCAGCAUUCAGUUGGGCACUCUGGUGAGACUGCCGGUGACAAACCGGAGGAAGGUGGGGAUGACGUCAAAUCAUCAUGCCCCUUAUGACCUGGGCUACACACGUGCUACAAUGGACGGUACAACGAGUCGCGAAGUCGUGAGGCUAAGCUAAUCUCUUAAAGCCGUUCUCAGUUCGGAUUGUAGGCUGCAACUCGCCUACAUGAAGUUGGAAUCGCUAGUAAUCGCGGAUCAGCAUGCCGCGGUGAAUACGUUCCCGGGCCUUGUACACACCGCCCGUCACACCAUGAGAGUUUGUAACACCCAAAGCCGGUGAGAUAACCUUCGGGAGUCAGCCGUCUAAGGUGGGACAGAUGAUUAGGGUGAAGUCGUAACAAGG